UACAGAGGGGGCGAGCGUUGUUCGGAAUUACUGGGCGUAAAGGGCGCGUAGGCGGCCAACUAAGUCAGACGUGAAAUCCCUCGGCUCAACCGGGGAACUGCGUCUGAUACUGGAUGGCUUGAGAUUGGGAGAGGGAUGCGGAAUUCCAGGUGUAGCGGUGAAAUGCGUAGAUAUCUGGAGGAACACCGGUGGCGAAGGCGGCAUCCUGGACCAACACUGACGCUGAGGAGCGAAAGCCAGGGGAGCAAACGGGG
rnacentral:rRNA from 1 species